rnacentral:rRNA from 1 species
GAGUUUGAUCCUGGCUCAGGACGAACGCUGGCGGUGUGCCUAAUACAUGCAAGUCGAACGAGAUCGGGCUUCGGCCCACAUGAUCAGGUGGCGAACGGGUGCGUAACACGUGAGGAACCUGCCCUGAAGACGGGAAUAACCCGAGGAAACUCGGGCGAAUACCCGAUGCCUUCACUUCCCCGCAUGAGGAAGUGAAGAAAGGCUCCGGCGCUUCAGGAGGGCCUCGCGGCCUAUCAGCUUGUUGGUGAGGUAACGGCUCACCAAGGCGUCGACGGGUAGCUGGUCUGAGAGGACGAUCAGCCACACUGGGACUGAGACACGGCCCAGACUCCUACGGGAGGCAGCAGUAGGGAAUCUUGCGCAAUGGGCGAAAGCCUGACGCAGCAACGCCGCGUGGGGGAUGAAGGCCUUCGGGUUGUAAACCCCUUUCAGCAGGGACGAAGCUGACGGUACCUGCAGAAGAAGCUCCGGCCAACUACGUGCCAGCAGCCGCGGUAAUACGUAGGGGGCGAGCGUUGUCCGGAAUUAUUGGGCGUAAAGAGCUCGUAGCGGUUCGGUAAGUCGGGU